UACGAAGGGGGCUAGCGUUGCUCGGAAUCACUGGGCGUAAAGCGUACGUAGGCGGAUCGUUAAGUCAGGGGUGAAAUCCUGGAGCUCAACUCCAGAACUGCCUUUGAUACUGGCGAUCUUGAGUUCGGGAGAGGUGAGUGGAACUGCGAGUGUAGAGGUGAAAUUCGUAGAUAUUCGCAAGAACACCAGUGGCGAAGGCGGCUCACUGGCCCGAUACUGACGCUGAGGUGCGAAAGCGUGGGGAGCAAACAGG
rnacentral:rRNA from 1 species